UUUUCAAUAAAUUUAUUUCGAUCUAAUACACAAUGUUUUUCGCUUUUAAAUAGAACUGAAAGAGGAUUGGUAGUGCUCUCACUGGCAAGUUCAAUUUUUAGCUGUAUGAGUGCGCUCGUGACGUUUUGCACUUUGUAUAGCCUGUAUAGGACAAGUUCUACAUUUUGUGCACCAGUGGUGCCGCUAUCGCGGUUCGAGAUGUAUCAUUUUUGGAUUUAUUUUUUUUAAAGUCAUGAUAUCAUGUUUCGACCUAUUUUUUUUUAUAGACAUUAGUGUAAAUUGUGUGUAGAAAUGUGGAAAAAAUAAUUAUUAAACUUAUUAAAUGUGAUUAGUUUGUUUAAAAGUUAAAUUAACUAGUGCAAGGUGUGACCGCGCGUGAUUCGAGAUAUUAAUAGUGAGCAUUAGCGAACAGAAAAUCACGAAUGGAGAACGAAAA